rnacentral:rRNA from 1 species
UGGGAGCUUGCUCCCUGAUGUUAGCGGCGGACGGGUGAGUAACACGUGGGUAACCUGCCUGUAAGACUGGGAUAACUCCGGGAAACCGGGGCUAAUACCGGAUGGUUGUUUGAACCGCAUGGUUCAAACAUAAAAGGUGGCUUCGGCUACCACUUACAGAUGGACCCGCGGCGCAUUAGCUAGUUGGUGAGGUAACGGCUCACCAAGGCAACGAUGCGUAGCCGACCUGAGAGGGUGAUCGGCCACACUGGGACUGAGACACGGCCCAGACUCCUACGGGAGGCAGCAGUAGGGAAUCUUCCGCAAUGGACGAAAGUCUGACGGAGCAACGCCGCGUGAGUGAUGAAGGUUUUCGGAUCGUAAAGCUCUGUUGUU